AAUUCAUGGUGCGGACAUUUUUGAAUCAACAUUUUGAAGCGUUCCCAUGCCUCAUAUUUCUCCCUCAAUCUUUCUAAAGACAGCAAUCUCUUGCCUUAGUU
rnacentral:snoRNA from 1 species